rnacentral:rRNA from 1 species
UGGGGAAUAUUGGACAAUGGGCGAAAGCCUGAUCCAGCCAUGCCGCGUGUGUGAAGAAGGUCUUCGGAUUGUAAAGCACUUUAAGUUGGGAGGAAGGGCAGUAAGCGAAUACCUUGCUGUUUUGACGUUACCGACAGAAUAAGCACCGGCUAACUCUGUGCCAGCAGCCGCGGUAAUAUAGAGGGUGCAAGCGUUAAUCGGAAUUACUGGGCGUAAAGCGCGCGUAGGUGGUUCGUUAAGUUGAAUGUGAAAGCCCCGGGCUCAACCUGGGAACUGCAUCCAAAACUAGCGAGCUAGAGUAUGGCAGAGGUUGGUGGAAUUUCCUGUGUAGCGGUGAAAUGCGUAGAUAUAGGAAGGAACACCAGUGGCGAAGGCGACCACCUGGGCUCAUACUGACACUGAGGUGCGAAAGCGUGGGGAGCAAACAGG